rnacentral:misc_RNA from 1 species
GUUUUUAUCAACUAAUUCAUCAGGUGACUCUCAUAUUUUGUUAUACAUUAGAUAUAAGUAACUUUUCAACAAUGGACAACUGCGUGAGGCCUUUUAAUUUCAAUUUUUACUUGAGUAUAGAUCAAUUUGCUGAAUCUUGGUUCCAAAUUGGGAAGAUUUGUGGUCUGCUAUUAAUUUCCAGAAUAAUUAUUUGGGCCAUUACAUUCCAAGUAUUUAGGGCUUUGGCUUUUAUUGCUCCUGCACUCAACCACUGUCACUUUAAGUUUACUUUCCUAUUACAGGGGUACAAAAUUUUAGGAUUAAGGUCUAUGAAUGCAUUCUGCUCUCUAACUUCAUGAACUUAUGCUUUGAAACAAGAUUUUCCCAUAAAUAUUAUUCAAUUGACAAUGUGCUGUGUUUUGAUAAAACUGACGCUGCCCAUUAGAAUUGAUACAUCAUGCUUUUAUGGCCUCAAACAUUUUUCUCAUCACACAUUUUGUUUUGGUAAAAUUGAAAAUCUCUAUGCUCAUGAUGUGUUAUGCUGACUUGAAUGGCUUCUUAUAUGAAGCAACAUGGGGUUUUUCUUCUGCCUCGUGAAGAUCUAAGAUUUUAUUCAAUUGUCAAUGCAUUGCAAGAUGCAUUAAUGCUAUUUAUUCUUCUUGAAUAUUUAGGGACGUGUAAUUCCUUGUGAUU